AUUGAACGCUGGCGGCAUGCCUUACACAUGCAAGUCGAACGGCAGCAUGGAGAGCUUGCUCUCUGAUGGCGAGUGGCGAACGGGUGAGUAAUGCAUCGGAACGUACCGUGUAAUGGGGGAUAACGUAGCGAAAGUUACGCUAAUACCGCAUACGACCUGAGGGUGAAAGCAGGGGAUCGCAAGACCUUGCGUUAUACGAGCGGCCGAUGUCAGAUUAGCUAGUUGGUGAGGUAAAGGCUCACCAAGGCGACGAUCUGUAGCGGGUCUGAGAGGAUGGUCCGCCACACUGGGACUGGGACACGGCCCGGACUCCUACGGGAGGCAGCAGUGGGGAAUGUUGGACAAUGGGGGCAACCCUGAUCCAGCCAUGCCGCGUGAGUGAAGAAGGCCUUCGGGUUGUAAAGCUCUUUCGGCCGGGAAGAAAUCGCACAGGCUAAUACUCUGUGUGGAUGACGGUACCGGCAUAAGAAGCACCGGCUAACUACGUGCCAGCCGCCGCAGUAA
rnacentral:rRNA from 1 species